AUACGGAGGAUGCGAGCGUUAUCCGGAUUUAUUGGGUUUAAAGGGUGCGCAGGCGGCGUGUCAAGUCAGCGGUCAAAAUGCGGCGCUCAACGCCGUACCGCCGUUGAAACUGGCAUGCUCGAGUUCGUGCGAGGAUGGCGGAAUGCGCGGUGUAGCGGUGAAAUGCAUAGAUAUCGCGCAGAACUCCGAUUGCGAAGGCAGCUGUCCAGCACACGACUGACGCUCAUGCACGAAAGCGUGGGUAUCGAACAGGAUUAGAUACCCUGGUAGUCCACGCGGUAAACGAUGAUAACUAGUUAUUCGGCGCGAGUGAGUGCUGAGUGACCGAGCGAAAGCGUUAAGUUAUCCACCUGGGGAGUACGCCGGCAACGGUGAAACUCAAAUGAAUUGACGGGG
rnacentral:rRNA from 1 species